rnacentral:rRNA from 1 species
GGCCUACGGGUGGCAGCAGUGGGGAAUUUUGGACAAUGGGGGCAACCCUGAUCCAGCCAUCCCGCGUGUGCGAUGAAGGCCUUCGGGUUGUAAAGCACUUUUGGCAGGGAAGAAAAGGUGCCGGUGAAUACCCGGCGCCGCUGACGGUACCUGCAGAAUAAGCACCGGCUAACUACGUGCCAGCAGCCGCGGUAAUACGUAGGGUGCAAGCGUUAAUCGGAAUUACUGGGCGUAAAGCGUGCGCAGGCGGCUCGGAAAGAAAGAUGUGAAAUCCCAGGGCUUAACCUUGGAAUGGCAUUUUUAACUCCCGAGCUAGAGUAUGUCAGAGGGGGGUAGAAUUCCACGGGUAGCAGUGAAAUGCGUAGAGAUGUGGAGGAAUACCGAUGGCGAAGGCAGCCCCCUGGGAUAAUACUGACGCUCAUGCACGAAAGCGUGGGGAGCAAACAGGAUUAGAUACCCCGGUAGUCG